CAACUCGGAACAGCGAAGGGGUUCGGCUUUUAGAUCCAAGCACGCCGCCGGCUUUAAAGACGUGGGGAUGUAGAUCGAGAGAGCAGUCAGGCGGCGGCGGCGACUCGCGAGUACAGGCACGACGGCGGCUGGGCAUCGUCGGGUUCGGGAGUUGGAGGGGAUGAGGGGGAGGCGGCGGCGCGGCGGGCGCCUGGGGUCUCGGCAUCCGACCUCAGGUCCAAGCUGCCGACGGAGACUGCUGCGCCGCGAGCACGCUGACAGCCUGAGGUAGCUGGACGACUGCCACGGCGAUGCACAAGGAGGCGAGCCCGAGGCGGUGGGCGGCGGCGGAUCCAGUCAUGCUCCUCCUCGAUUUCCCCGUCGUCGUGCUACCGAGGGCGUCUUCGCCCACAUCUCCUCACGCUGGUGCUCAUGGCGCCUCCUGCCGCUGGUUUCGCCUGCCGGUCGCGACGCGGUAAACGAACAGAGCAUGUGCUCGCGGCGGAGGAUGCUCUCUCGCUCCCGCUGAACGCUCGCCUCGCCCGCCACCACGGACAAGGCAACAAAAUGGAGCUAUCCUUUCCGUUAGCAUAUUCCAGAAGGAUCUAUUUUGCACAUAAAAGUGAUGGCUUGGGCCUUCGGCACCAUGGCGGCAUCAGUUUGCACGUUGUCGCUCCACUUGUAUUGCUGGUUGCAAAGUAAGGUGCGAACAGUCCAUCGCCGUAUGUUAGGAGGUGAAACUUAAGCACUAUAUAGUGAAAAUUUCUCUAGCGUUGUGGGAGCUGCUGCUGUUGCAUUUAAAUUGGUUUGUCCAAAUCGACAGUCCGAGGCUCCAGCGGAUGCAGUCGCAACCCCACCUCUAGAUCAGCUCACCACCCAACCAGUUACACUCAGUUAUGUGACAGUUUUGAUUCAUUCUACAGAAUUAUUGGAACUCUGGAAUGACCAAAUCUCAAUUCUGCUUCAAAGGUCGGCGGCAACCGGCGGAGGUCUGACCACGACAGUAACAACGAUGGAAACUGCACAAUCUCAGAAUGUAAGUCCUGUCUCUCGACUCCCCUCCCGAAAUUUGGCAUGUUACUUCCUUGAUCAUGGAUUCAUGGUGCUGAUAUCCUGAUACAGAGAAGCUCAACAGCAAAUAUGGUCAAUGGGUAAUAAGCCUUGUUUUUUGGCUUGCUGUUGGCUGCAGCAGCACAUGCGAUGAGCUUAUUCAGCACGUGAACUUUGAAUCAAUAAGGCUGAUUGGAGUUGAAAUGAAUUUGAAUCAGGAAUAGGAUAUAGUGUAGGCUUAGCCUUGGACCAUAUAUGCACGCAGCUAGUGCAUUUCUACACGUAGUCCUAACUGUUAUUAACCUGUACAGUCCUAACUCCAAUAUAUACUUGGAUUCUGUAGAGCAACGGUAACUCGUCUCCUACUAAUUCUGCUCCCGUAACAACGCUUCGCUGUAAUUAUGCAUAUCAAGUGCUCCACAUGCAUAGUAUUCUGGAUGGUAGUAUAUUUCCGGGACCUUUUUCCCCGAUUUAUAAUGAUCUAAAAUGGUGUGCAUAUUAGGUUUUUAAAUGGACGAAAUGGAAUUCUUUUUGGAUGGAUAUAGCAUGGCCUACCUGAGAAGGAAGUAUUCAUGUGCGACAGAAAAAGCUGCUUUGUUUGUGCCUUUUGGUUUUGUGGGCUCUUUUGCAGUUGCAGGGACAGAGGCACUAAGCAUCUUAGUCUAAAAAUGUAUCUUGUUUGUGCAGUUGCAGGAUAACUAUCUGAACGCAGUGCAGAUUUUAGGUCAAAUAUCACCCGUAUGAUAUAGAUAAUGGCUUCAUUGGAAAAACAUUGUAACCCUGUAUAUGAUCUAUUUUAUAUCCUGCAUGUUCUAAUAUUAACAGUUUUGAGUCGGUGCAGAUUAGUUCAUAAGACGCAGUAUGCAUUAGUGUUAUCUUGGAAGAAUGUGAAAUUGUUAUGCUUUGUACUGCAGGCCCUAGUUGCUGCUCCUUGGAAAAUAACCUUAAUGCUCAAUUGAAGUCCUUAAAGUUACUGGUUGCCAUCUGUAAUGUUAAAGAUAAUAAAUAAAAGUUGGGCGUGCUAUUAGAGCUUCAUCCACUUGGAAAGACAUCUGAAACACAGAGUCUGUCAAAUAGUAUAGCACCUGUUUAAGGCUAGUUGUGCGCAAGGCAUUUUACUUCGGUGAGAUUACAUGGGUUAGAAUCUGGCACAUACAGUUUGCCCUUCUAUCAACUAGCAGCUCUUGCAACACCACACAUUUUGAUCACUGUUUCACGUCUACUUUUACUCCUUUUAAGUUCUGAAAAAAAUCAUGGUUCAAUUAGUUUUAAGUCAGGAAUCUAUGAAACACUUAGACAUUAAUUUAAAGGCUGAUUACGCAAGGCGCUACUCUUUUAAAGACUGGGAGCUGUAUGCAUACUGGAGCACUGCUAACAUGUAUUUUGAUGAUGUUCAUCACUAAACAUUUGACUUUGCAGGCUUGUGGUCAGCUUGACUAGUUUCAAACAAUGGCGGAAUGCUUGGCUUCGAUAUUUGGUACAGAGAAAGGCAGUGUCAACUGUCCAUUUUUUACUUCAAGAUUGGAGCUUGUCAUCAUGGCGAUCGCCUCUCCCGCAUCCAUAACAGGCCAACCAUGAACAUGAUAUGAUUACCCCUGGUCACAUGAUCCUUGGAAAUUAAGCAUCUCUUCGCCUUUAUAUAUACUUGUUUGCAUUAACAUCUUUCCUCUGUACUUCACACACACACGCACACGCACACGCACACGCACACACACACACACAUGACCUUGAAGGAAUAUUUGGGACGGAGUUUUCUAAGUUUUGCUGCACAGAGGAACAUAUGCCAUUUGUUUAGAAGUACAAGGAAUCAGGAGUAUGCUUGGAAGUGACCUCAAAGGAAUGCUUUGAAAUGAAGUUUGCAAAGUUUGUUGCUCAAAGGAGAGGAGCACUGAUCUUAAGUUCUUAACAAAAUGAUCUGCUAGGGUGCAACACAAUUCUUCUAAGGCAGGUGUGCCUCAAUUUUUCGUAGUGAGCUAAUUUGUUAUAGAAGUGCAUAUGUAAAUCUCGUAUGUCCAUUCUGAAUUUCUUGUUUGAUCUUUAAUGCGAUAUUGGUGCGCUAUGUCAUCUGGUAUACACAGAAAUCUUGGGUACUCUUUGGGCAUUUGAUAGAGAUUUGUACUUGUGACCCUUCUUGUACUUGUAAACUAGCAAAACAAAUUAGCUUUACUUAAAUGUUUUGUCGUAUGAUGCUCCGUUGCAGAGUCGAGCAUAAUGUUAACACUAUCUGGUUCCAUAUUAUGAUCAUAGGAGAGAUUAAUAAGAAUAUAAACAAUGUCCAUGGUGCUGUAACAUAAACCACACUGAUCUGACAUUGUUCAGUUAAGCUCACAUACAUACUGACAUGCAUAUAUAUACAUGAUUGAGGGAAGCACACUGUUAAUUCUAAAGAUACCGACGCUGAUGCAACUAUGGAAUGAUUGGGAACUACAGCUACUGGUGCUCCUAGGCUUCACGCUACAGAUUUUCAUCUUCUUUUCUGGUGGCCUCCGGCGGUGCAGCACCAACUCAAGACUGAGGCUGGAGAGAUGUUCGCAGUCUACGCUUACUUGCUAU